GACGAACGCUGGCGGCGUGCUUAACACAUGCAAGUCGAACGGAAAGGCCCUGCUUUUGUGGGGUGCUCGAGUGGCGAACGGGUGAGUAACACGUGAGUAACCUGCCCUUGACUUUGGGAUAACUUCAGGAAACUGGGGCUAAUACCGGAUAGGAGCUCCUGCUGCAUGGUGGGGGUUGGAAAGUUUCGGCGGUUGGGGAUGGACGCGCGGCUUAUCAGCUUGUUGGUGGGGUAGUGGCUUACCAAGGCUUUGACGGGUAGCCGGCCUGGGAGGGUGACCGGCCACAUUGGGACUGAGAUACGGCCCGGACCCCUACGGGAGGCAACAGUGGGGAAUGUUGCAUAAUGGGCGGAGCCCUAAUGCAGCAACGCCGCGUGCGGGAUAACGGCCUUCGGUUUGUAUUCCGCUUUCGCCUGUCACGAGGCGUGAAUGACGGUAAUGGGUAAAGAAGCCCCGGCUAACUACGUG
rnacentral:rRNA from 1 species